rnacentral:tRNA from 1 species
GCCGGGGUGGCGAAAUUGGUAGACGCACAGGAUUUAGGAUCCUGCGGUAGCGAUACUGUGCCGGUUCGAGUCCGGCCCCCGGCA